UAAAAAAAAAGAAAAAUUUGGCGAUUAAGUCAACAUGGAAAUAAAAACACCAAAAACUUUCAACUUAGCGCCGCACAGUCGUCAUUAAGACCAUUGAUAAACCAUAAUUCAAUUAUUUUGUCAAUUUACAAAUAAAUAAACAAAUAAAUAUUCACGGGCGCUGUUUAUACGAUUCAUAAUUCAAUUCUAAACUCAAAUUAUAUAGAAUAAUCUUUUAAUAACGAAGAGAGAUGAGAGGCAACAGGUGGAUUGACCAUACAGCAAGCAGUGGUCGGGUGUUCGGGGUGACCAUGCAACAAGCAGUGGUCGGGUGUUCGGGGUGAUCAUACAGUAAGCAGUGGUCGGGUGUUCGGGGUGACCAUACAACAAGCAGAAGUCGGGUGUUCGGGGUGACCAU